rnacentral:lncRNA from 1 species
CACAAAUUUCUGAAGAUAAUUCGCCUAAAGUGUAUUGGGAAUAAUUUAUAAUACCACUAUUUUUAUUUUUGAGACGUUCUUUUACUUUUUCAGCAAAGAGGUAAGGUAGUCCUGCUAUAAAUUUUUCUUUCCAGUGAUCAAGAUGACUAUCUUCUCGUAUAAGUAGUCGGGAGAAAAAGACGUCUUUAUACCAUUUAUAAUGUGACAAUGUUGGGCAUCUUAAAUUAGAUAAAAGAUCAGCAGUUCUUGCUGCAAGUAUUGAUGUAUUUCCUAUGAAAUGAAGAGCAAUCGUAUAUAUCAAAGAGUUGACAGCAUCACUCUCGGAAUAUACCAUAUCUUGAUUAUGUUCAUUUUUUGCUGUCCAUUGCCUAGUAUUGGUUAAUAUCUGUUGUUUUGUUUGUUCAUUUAAGUAUGAAUCCCACC